GAUGAACGCUGGCGGCGUGCCUAAUACAUGCAAGUCGAGCGAUCUUCUUCGGAAGAGAGCGGCGGACGGGUGAGUAACGCGUGGGUAACCUGCCCUGUACACACGGAUAACAUACCGAAAGGUAUGCUAAUACGGGAUAAUAUAUGAGAGUCACAUGACUUUUAUAUCAAAGUUUUUGCGGUACAGGAUGGACCCGCGUCUGAUUAGCUAGUUGGUAAGGUAACGGCUUACCAAGGCGACGAUCAGUAGCCGACCUGAGAGGGUGAUCGGCCACACUGGAACUGAGACACGGGCCAGACUCCUACGGGAGGCAGCAGUUGGGAAUAUUGCAAAAUGGGCGAAAGCCUGAUGCAGCAACGCCGCGUGAGCGAUGAAGGCCUUCGGGUCGUAAAGCUCUGUCCUCAAGGAAGAUAAUUACGGUACUUGAGGAGGAAGCCCCGGCUAACUACGUGCCAGCAGCCGCAGUAA
rnacentral:rRNA from 1 species